rnacentral:lncRNA from 1 species
UGGUUAGACACCUCUCCAAUUCUGUUACAGGGGUGGUAGAUCCUGAGGCUGGAAGUACAGAAGGUAAAGAGAAUGUGCAUGGCCCAGCCCUAGUAAUUACUCUGGGCGCAAAACCACAAAGACAGCUCUGUGCAGAGUGCCUGCCAACUCAAGAGAGGCCCUACAGCUGAGUGGAGAUGUGUGGAAUUCAGAGUUCACCACUGCACAAUAAGGCAAUUUCUGUCAAAAACAUGACAGUGUGUCCUCAUCUACCUUAUUAAUUGGACCUGGCAUCACACAAGUUCUGGCUCUUCCCCCAAGACCAAAUUAUCAUGAAUCAACUCAGGACAUCAAGGCAACCACAGCAGAACAACUGAAAACACCCACAGAGAGGACUUCCACAACUGCGCAGAAAAUGGGCCACUUGUAAAACACGCAGCCCAGCCCAGGUUUCAAGACUUCAGGAAGCUAAAGGUCAACCACUACCAUUCCAUCUUAUGCCUGGAUGCUGCUGUCAUAGGCCAAUCUCUUUCUGCACACUUGGAAAAUGUCAUUUGAUAAGGUGGCCGAUGUGCUCCCAAAUAAGCAUUUGACAUAAUGUAGUUCAUCUUACAGGCAUCAUCAAAGUCUGGGAGAUAACAGUUCCUGGGAUCGCCCUUUGAACACCGCUGAUAGAUUGUUUUUAAAAAGGGGAAGGGUAAAAAGGGAAAAGAAAAAUAUGUGAGGUAAAGAAAAGAUGGAAAUAAAGUGCUUGCA